UACCAUUUAAACACAACAUUUUAAAUCUUUUUUGCCUCUUAUUGCUUUUUCGAAAAGUCAAUUUUUAUCGAAAUAUUUUGAAUAUUUGUCAAAUCCACCACAUAUUUGUAUAUGGUUAAGUACGAUUAUGGAGACUUGCUAAUAAUAUGCAAACUUAUUUAUGCUUUACAUUUUUACGUAUAUUUUGAACCAUAUUAAAAAAGAAGCCAGAUCUCGA
rnacentral:lncRNA from 1 species